rnacentral:rRNA from 1 species
CUUAUGCGUUGUUGGGUAGGGGAGCGUUCUGUAAGCCUGCGAAGGUGGCCUGUGAGGGUUGCUGGAGGUAUCAGAAGUGCGAAUGCUGACAUAAGUAACGAUAAAGCGGGUGAAAAGCCCGCUCGCCGGAAGACCAAGGGUUCCUGUCCAACGUUAAUCGGGGCAGGGUGAGUCGACCCCUAAGGCGAGGCCGAAAGGCGUAGUCGAUGGGAAACGGGUUAAUAUUCCCGUACUUGGUGUUACUGCGAAGGGGGGACGGAGAAGGCUAUGUUGGCCGGGCGACGGUUGUCCCGGUUUAAGCGUGUAGGUGUGUGUUCCAGGUAAAUCCGGUUCACUUUAACACUGAGGCGUGACGACGAGGCACUACGGUGCUGAAGCAACAAAUGCCCUGCUUCCAGGAAAAGCCUCUAAGCAUCAGGUAACAUCAAAUCGUACCCCAAACCGACACAGGUGGUCAGGUAGAGAAUACCAAGGCGCUUGAGAGAACUCGGGUGAAGGAACUAGGCAAAAUGGUGCCGUAACUUCGGGAGAAGGCACGCUGACACGUAGGUGAAGUGAUUUACUCAUGGAGCUGAAGUCAGUCGAAGAUACCAGCUGGCUGCAACUGUUUAUUAAAAACACAGCACUGUGCAAACACGAAAGUGGACGUAUACGGUGUGACGCCUGCCCGGUGCCGGAAGGUUAAUUGAUGGGGUCAGCGCAAGCGAAGCUCCUGAUCGAAGCCCCGGUAAACGGCGGCCGUAACUAUAACGGUCCUAAGGUAGCGAAAUUCCUUGUCGGGUAAGUUCCGACCUGCACGAAUGGCGUAAUGAUGGCCAGGCUGUCUCCACCCGAGACUCAGUGAAAUUGAACUCGCUGUGAAGAUGCAGUGUACCCGCGGCAAGACGGAAAGACCCCGUGAACCUUUACUAUAGCUUGACACUGAACAUUGAGCCUUGAUGUGUAGGAUAGGUGGGAGGCUUUGAAGUGUGGACGCCAGUCUGCAUGGAGCCGACCUUGAAAUACCACCCUUUAAUGUUUGAUGUUCUAACGUGGACCCGUUACCCGGGUUGCGGACAGUGUCUGGUGGGUAGUUUGACUGGGGCGGUCUCCUCCUAAAGAGUAACGGAGGAGCACGAAGGUUGGCUAAUCCUGGUCGGACAUCAGGAGGUUAGUGCAAUGGCAUAAGCCAGCUUGACUGCGAGCGUGACGGCGCGAGCAGGUGCGAAAGCAGGUCAUAGUGAUCCGGUGGUUCUGAAUGGAAGGGCCAUCGCUCAACGGAUAAAAGGUACUCCGGGGAUAACAGGCUGAUACCGCCCAAGAGUUCAUAUCGACGGCGGUGUUUGGCACCUCGAUGUCGGCUCAUCACAUCCUGGGGCUGAAGUAGGUCCCAAGGGUAUGGCUGUUCGCCAUUUAAAGUGGUACGCGAGCUGGGUUUAGAACGUCGUGAGACAGUUCGGUCCCUAUCUGCCGUGGGCGCUGGAGAACUGAGGGGGGCUGCUCCUAGUACGAGAGGACCGGAGUGGACGCAUCACUGGUGUUCGGGUUGUCAUGCCAAUGGCACUGCCCGGUAGCUAAAUGCGGAAGAGAUAAGUGCUGAAAGCAUCUAAGCACGAAACUUGCCCCGAGAUGAGUUCUCCCUGAGACUUAGAGUCUCCUGAAGGAACGUUGAAGACGACGACGUUGAU